rnacentral:tRNA from 1 species
CUCUGGCGWUCUAAUACAAAACAAGUCCACCGUGGGCUUUGAAAAACGCUUUCCUUGAUAAAAUUUAACGCGUUUUAUAAGAGGAUGCCGGGGAAGGUUUUCCGGUUUAUCCCGGAGGGCUUGUAGCUCAGUUGGUUAGAGCGCGCGCUUGAUAAGCGUGAGGUCGGAGGUUCAAGUCCUCCCAGGCCCACCAGUUUAUCCAUUACUUUCAUAAGUGCUUUUAAAAAAUAAGUACUUCUAAAAAGAUUGCUUCUAAAAAGCUUAUCAAAAUUGGCAGGCUUAUUGCUUUUGUGUGAGUAAUCCAAAGUUAAAGCAAAUUAAUGGCAAAAAAACAGUUCAAAUGCUAAAUACUAAGGAGUCAAAAUUCCUUGCAAAGUGAUUUUUACAGCGUCCAUUUGGUUGAUAUAAAUUCCAAAUGCUCAUAGACGUCAAUGCCUAUAUGAAACUAUCGGUUCAAUCAUAUCGCUUUGAGUUAUAUAGAUUUUGUAAUCCCUCUUUUGAUCGUUUUAAACGCUUUAUUCUGAUUUAGGGGCCGUAGCUCAGCUGGGAGAGCACCUGCUUUGCAAGCAGGGGGUCGUCGGUUCGAUCCCGUCCGGCUCCACCAUAAGGUCAUCAUCAUUGUUGUAAGAACAGUUUUGUAAAAGGUUUGCGGACCUUUUGCUUGUUCUAUUGAAAUUGUGAAGAGAAGAUAUAUUCAGACAUGUUCCUUWUGAAAGGUUUGUUCUGGAAGAUGAGGUUUUUCUCGUAUGCAGAAAUGUUUCAGAAAAAGCUUUGUCAUCAGAAAGGGCUAUUGUCUAACAGCUUAGAUAAAAAACAAAUCUGAAAAAGAAAUCUUGUGUCGCAAGGGAAAGCUCAAAGCCCUUGCUUAUGAUUGGAAGCUUAACCGCGCCAUUGAAUAUAUCUCGAGAAGCUGGUCUUUUCUGCGUGAUAUUUAUGUUUGUCUAUUGCACUUUGUUCUGCACAAGGCAGAGAACGCGACAAACAGUGAAUGAAUAUUGCAAUGAGA